rnacentral:rRNA from 1 species
GGCUCAGAACGAACGCUGGCGGCGCGUUUAAGCAUGCAAGCGAGCGGCAAGGGCCUUCGGGCCCCUAGAGCGGCGGACGGGUGAGUAACACGUGGACAAUCUGCCCCCCGGCCCGGGAUAGCCCAGGGAAACCUGGAUUAAUACCGGAUGAGACGGGACCCGCGAUGGCGGGAUCCGGGAAAGGCGCUGCGGCGCCGCCGGGGGAUGAGUCUGCGUCCCAUUAGCUAGACGGCGGGGUAACGGCCCACCGUGGCGACGAUGGGUAGCCGGCCUGAGAGGGUGGACGGCCACAUUGGAACUGAGACACGGUCCAGACUCCUACGGGAGGCAGCAGCUAAGAAUCUUCCGCAAUGGGCGAAAGCCUGACGGAGCCGACGCCGCGUGAACGAAGAAGGCCGUGAGGUUGUAAAGUUCUUUUCGGGAGGGGGAACAACCGUGGCAGGGAAUGGCCGCGGGAUGACGUGAAUCCCGGAAUAAGCCCCGGCUAACUACGUGCCAGCCGCUGC